rnacentral:rRNA from 1 species
UAUUGGUCACUGGGCGCGAGCCUGAACCAGCCAAGUAGCGUGAAGGAUGACGGGCCUAUGGGUUGUAAACUUCUUUUAUAUGGGAAUAAAGUUUUACACGUGUGUAAUUUUGUAUGUACCAUAUGAAUAAGGAUCGGCUAACUCCGUGCCAGCAGCCGCGGUAAUACGGAGGAUACGAGCGUUAUCCGGAUUUAUUGGGUUUAAAGGGAGCGUAGGGGGAUUGUUAAGUCAGUUGUGAAAGUUUGCGGCUCAACCGUAAAAUUGCAGUUGAAACUGGCAGUCUUGAGUACAGUAGAAGUGGGCGGAAUUCGUGGUGUAGCGGUGAAAUGCUUAGAUAUCACGAAGAACUCCGAUUGCGAAGGCAGCUCACUGGACUGUUGACUGACACUGAGGCUCGAAAGUGUGGGUAUCAAACAG